GUGGGUAUAGCUCAGUUGGUUAGAGCGCCAGAUUGUGGCUCUGGAGGUCGUGAGUUCGACGCUCAUUAUCCACCCCA
rnacentral:tRNA from 1 species